CCUACGGGGGGCUGCAGUGGGGAAUAUUGGACAAUGGGGGCAACCCUGAUCCAGCCAUGCCGCGUGUGUGAAGAAGGCCCUCGGGUUGUAAAGCACUUUCAGUGAGGAAGAACGCCUGGUGGUUAAUACCCAUCAGGAAAGACAUCACUCACAGAAGAAGCACCGGCUAACUCCGUGCCAGCAGCCGCGGUAAUACGGAGGGUGCGAGCGUUAAUCGGAAUUACUGGGCGUAAAGCGCGCGUAGGUGGCUUGAUAAGCCGGUUGUGAAAGCCCCGGGCUCAACCUGGGAACGGCAUCCGGAACUGUCAAGCUAGAGUGCAGGAGAGGAAGGUAGAAUUCCCGGUGUAGCGGUGAAAUGCGUAGAGAUCGGGAGGAAUACCAGUGGCGAAGGCGGCCUUCUGGACUGACACUGACACUGAGGUGCGAAAGCGUGGGUAGCAAACAGGAUUAGAUACCCGAGUAGUC
rnacentral:rRNA from 1 species